UCCAUUGUGGCUCAGUUGGUAGAGCAUGGCACUUGCAAUGCCAGGGUUGUGGGUUCAAUUCCCACGAGGGAC
rnacentral:tRNA from 1 species